rnacentral:lncRNA from 1 species
ACGUUUACUUUUCUGAAUAGGUAUUUGGGAAAUGCUUGGGGUAGCAGAAAACUUGCGGAAAAUAGAAAGCGGUAGCAGCAAGGGUUGUCCAUCUAACAAGUUUUACCAUAGAACCCGAAGAAGUGGCAUGGAAUUUGACUCUGAUUGGACCAAGCAUAGAAAAUCAUUGACCUUUACCGCACAAGUUAUCAGUUCUUCAACUUCUUUUAUCCCUUGGUCUUCUAAGAUUGCAAUUAGUGAAGGAUAUCAUGAAAUAUGAAUUUCUUUAGUCAAUUGCCAAUUUAUUCAAUUACUUUAGAGAAGAGGCCUGGUCAAUGAUCGUAUCGCUUUGUCAAAAAUUGUGGUUUUAAAAAAUGCUUGGUGUUGUAAGUGGAAACAAGAGAGUCACUGCAUCAAGUAUGUGUUCCACAGAUUUGAGCCAGCAAGAUAGUCUAGGUUUUGAUUCCUUUUUAAGUUGUAAUUAUGUGUCUGAUGGCCCCAUCUUGCCUGGACUGCCAGAUGAUGUGGCAAAGUAUUGCCUUGCUUAUAAUUAUGCGUCUGAUGGCCCCAUCUUGCCUGGACUGCCAGAUGAUGUGGCAAAGUAUUGCCUUGCACUUGUUCCCCGAUCCGAUUUUCCUGCUAUGGGUGGUGCCUGCAAGCGGUGGAGGUCAUUUCUGCGAAGCAAAGAGUUUAUCAGCAUU